GUGUGACUCCUCCUAGCGGGGAGUUGGAGAGCUUUGUGGCGGUAGAGUUUGUGUGUACUUUGACAGCUCUUUGAGGGAGCGCCAAGCAAGGAAGCCUCACCAAGGAUUUUAUACUCAGCUUAAGCCCGUUCUCCAUUACGGACUCUCCACCCAUCAUAUUUUCUUCAGCGUGUUUACAGAAAGAUGAAACAAAGACAAGUAGAUGAGAGCAGAGCAGGGCUAGGUGCAGGGCCAGGAGCAGGGCCAGGUGAAGGCUCCUUGGGCACAUUUACCCUCUGCUUAUUGUAAGGUUCAUUUAUUUCAGAAGUCAGGGACAACAAUGCCCACUUUCUGUAGUUGAAAUUUGUUGCAAUAAACAGAUGAGGGUAUGUACAUGAACACUACUGGAAAGAUACAUGGCUGCAUAUGAGUGUGAAAAUUAAAAUUCUCAGAAAGCAAUGGGCUGGAGAGAUGGCUCAGCAGUUAAGAACACUGGCUGCUCUUCCAGAGGUCCUGAGUUCAAUUCCCAGCAACCACAUGGUGGCUCAUAACUGUCUAUAAUGAGAUCUGGUGCCCUCUUCUGGCCUGCAGGCAGAACACUGUAUAAUCAAUAAGUAAAUCUUUAAAAAAAAUUCUCAGGGACAGAGACCCUCCUGAUGAAUGCUUAAUUUGAACUCCUUGUUUUUGCUUUUGAUCAAAGGAAACAAAAUAAGGCAAGAAUCAGGUGAGAUUAAGAGAAACAGUGGAAAGGAAGCAGCUCUAGGCAGUGGGGUGGGGCCGAAGGCUUCAGGCAGUGUGAUGGCUGACAGGCAGGAUUUGUACCCUGAUACUGAGACCUACUGGGUGUCUUAGUCAGGGUUUCUAUUCCUGCACAAACAUCAUGACCAAGAAGCAAGUUGAGGAGGAAAGGGUNNNNNNNNNNNNNNNNGGAGGAAAGGGUUUAUUCAGCUUAUACUUCCACAUUGCUGUUCAUCACCAAAGGAAGUCAGGACUGGAACUCAAGCAGGUCAGGAUGCAGAGGCCAUGGAGGGAUGUUCCUUACUGGCUUGCUUCCUCUGCCUUACUCACCUUGCUUUCUUAUAGAACCCAAGACUACCCACCCCAGGGAUGGCACCACCCACAACGGGCCCUCCCCACGCCCCUUGAUCACUAAUUGAGAAAAUGCCUUACAGUUGGAUCUCAUGGAGCCAUUUCCUCACCUGAAGCUCCCUUCUCUGUGAUAACUCCAGCUUGUGUUAAGUUGACUCACAAAACCAGCCAGUACACUGGGCCAUCUAUAAAUGUCCUUGUCUGCAAUGGGGAAAGUAAUAUCUAUUAUCAGUGUUUCUAUAAGAAAUAGACUUAUUGGUCUUGGGAAAUGAGUCAAUAGGUAAAAAUGCUUACUAUGCAGACAUACGAACCUGAGAUCAAACUGAGAGCACUCAGGAGAAAGCCAGAUGUGAUGACGCAGGCCUGUGAUCCCAGCACUGCGGAGGGAGAGGCAGACAGAUCCCUGGGAUUACAGACAGCCAAUCCAGGCAAAUCAGUGAACUCCAGGUUCAGUGAGAGGCUCUGCCUCA
ensembl:sense_intronic Gm15535 predicted gene 15535